GACAGGAGAAUGACAAAUCAUAUUUUUUCCCAUGAUAUUCAACUUUUUCUUCCUAAAAAAAAUUCAAAUCCAACUAAAAAUGUUAAAAAUCGGGAGGAAAAAUCUAAUUUGUCAUUCUCCCAUU
rfam:Gossypium raimondii Chr11_contig_436, whole genome shotgun sequence.